rnacentral:rRNA from 1 species
AUUGAACGCUGGCGGCAGGCCUAACACAUGCAAGUCGAGCGGAUGAAGGGAGCUUGCUCCUGGAUUCAGCGGCGGACGGGUGAGUAAUGCCUAGGAAUCUGCCUGGUAGUGGGGGAUAACGUCCGGAAACGGGCGCUAAUACCGCAUACGUCCUGAGGGAGAAAGUGGGGGAUCUUCGGACCUCACGCUAUCAGAUGAGCCUAGGUCGGAUUAGCUAGUUGGUGGGGUAAAGGCCUACCAAGGCGACGAUCCGUAACUGGUCUGAGAGGAUGAUCAGUCACACUGGAGCUGAGACACGGUCCAGACUCCUACGGGAGGCAGCAGUGGGGAAUAUUGGACAAUGGGCGAAAGCCUGAUCCAGCCAUGCCGCGUGUGUGAAGAAGGUCUUCGGAUUGUAAAGCACUUUAAGUUGGGAGGAAGGGCAGUAAGAUAAUACCUUGCUGUUUUGACGUUACCAACAGAAUAAGCACCGGCUAACUUCGUG